GUUUUGAAAUAAAACAAACCCUCCCCCCUAAUCUUCUCUUCUUCUUCAUAACACCUACCCAUCCCUUUUGAUUUUCCGUCCAACCUCUCCCUCCCUCCGGUGAUUUUUCGCGGCAACGAGUUGUCCUCCACGAACAAGUAGAUCCAGCAGCGCUCCAUCAGAACCUGAGCCCAGCAACGGCGGUGUUUUGCGUCGGGUGUACCAGCGGCGGCGAUACACGGGUUUUCAGCGAUCACCGACGGCGUCCUUUGAUCAAUUUCAGCAAUAUCUUGGCGGCGCGACGUUCCUUUCGUCUUCUGCAGCGAAGCUGCACACCUCGACGCCCAGACCCGCAAACGGCAGCCCUGUGCGUGAAGCUUCCCAAGCGGUUAAAGGUGAUUUCGGCGGUGCAACCUCAGAUUUUGGUGGUUCUGCUGUGCUUCGCGACAGAUCUAGCGUUUCUCGGUCAACGGCAGAAAUGUCCCCGUCACCUAGACCGUGCACAGUAGCGUUGGUAGCGCAUCUCCACUGGCGUUGGUAGCGCAUCUCCACUGCUGGAUCUCGUGGACAGCGGCAUUUAGGUGGUUUUCAACACUUACCUACACCGUUCAAAGCCCGUUUUGCAAUACCCGCCCCCUUCGGCAUUGGCCCACUCUUAACCAAAGUGGUUUUAGUGUGAUUUAUUAGGUUGAUGAAAAUUUAGAGGUGUUACAUGAAGAAUCAAUUGAUUCAGAAAGCUCGCUCGCUCAGAUGUGAUGGCAACAUUAGAGGACUGUCCUACUGGACAAUGGACAUUUGUUAUUCCAAUUUGUUAUUUCUUGAAGGAACUGCAAAAGAAAUUCAGAUGAAGAAGAUGACACGCUUUUGAUGUGGAGUAACCAACCACAAGGCAGCGCGGUUAGCGUAAAGGAUUGACUCAAUUGAGAGGAUUCUAUAUCUCACAGGCAACUCUAGUCGAAGAUAGAAGGUGUUCCUUGGGCAGUUUAGGCGAGAGGCCGUGAGUAAGACCCUAGAACGGCCUAAUCAGACACCAGAGAAGCCUAUACGAUGAUAUACAGAAUCCGCAAUCCUCGCUAAAUCAAAAGUAACCAGGUGACUUUAUCAAACUUCCGAAGCAAGUUUCCAGUCUGAAAGCAGUCAUGUUAGCCUUUAUUUUCCGUCUUUUCCUUUAGUUUGUCAGUUUGUAAUAAUUUCCCGUUUUACUUUAUUUCUUUUCUUUCUUUUGCAAAGAUAAGAUGCCCUUUGUCGGCCACACUUAUCUUUACCUUUUUAAAGUAGAUUCCAAAGAGAUAAGAUGCCAGUCAAGGACUUGUCUUGUCGGCCAAAUCUUAUUUUCUUUGUUGUAUCCAAUUAUGUUGAGACAAGUGUCGAGACAAUAGAAAGAAUCAAUAAUUACAACUAGUUGCAAUUAUCGAUUAUUUUCUAUAUAUAGCACUUGGUCCCGACCAGAAAUGGUAUCUAUAUAUAGCACUUGGUCCCAGUUCUGGUCGGGAUUCUGAUACCAUUUCUGGUCGAGAUUCUCUGAUCAAAAGAUCAUAAAUUCAAAUUGUCGCUCUGGUAUAUUGUACUAAGAAAAAUUGAUUAAAUUAACAUAUCUAUAUCUACUAAAAAGUAGUAAAUUUGGAGAAAAAAUUUAUCUAAUAUCAAAUAUUCAAUUCUGACAUCUCUUUUGGGUGUGAGUUCGACGGGUUUUUGGGAUUUUUGACCCCUUCCAAUAAUAAUUUUGGAUUUUUGACCCUUUUUGAUAUUUACUUAUUCAUAACCCCUCUACCUCAGUUUUCUGACAUUUCCCUUUAUUUUGCUUGGUAAAAUUACCAAGUUACCAUCAAUUUAAAAAAAGAAAUCAAACCCAGCCCUCCCCUCCCUUCCUUCCAUGUCUCGAUCCUUCCCCUCCCUCAUUCACUAUCUCGUUGUCCAUCCCAGUCUUCAUCUUGCUAUCUCCCUCACUUCGCACUUCAUCUCCGUCGUUUCUCUUCUCGUCUCCCUCGCUUCGUCUCUAUCAGAGCUUUCCCCCUUCCCUAAUCGAGGUAAUUUUUCUUUCAAGUGUGAAUGCUUUUCUACUUUUUUUUUCCUUCGUUCUUUGCGUGGGUGUGAAAGACUUCAACCUUCGACUCUAUCUG